rnacentral:rRNA from 1 species
GACGAACGCUGGCGGCGUGCUUAACACAUGCAAGUCGAGCGGAGCGGCGAACGGGUGAGUAACGCGAGAGUAACUUCCCCCCCCUCUGGGAUAACAGUUGGAAACGGCUGCUAAUACCGGAUAGUGUGGGAUGACCCGCGUCCUAUCAGCCUGUUGGUGUGGUAGUGGCCUACCAAGGCGACGACGGGGAGCCGGCCAGCGCGAGUGAGCGGCCAAGUUGGGCUGAGAUACGGCCCGAACGCCGACGGGGGGCAGCAGGGGGGAAGAUUGAACAAUGGGGGAAACCCUGAUGCAGCAACGCCGAGUGCGGGAUGGUGGCAUUCGGGUUGUGAACCGCAUUCAGCCAUGACGCGGUAGUUGCAGAAGAAGCACCGGCUAACUACGUGCCAGCAGCCGCGGUAAUAC